rnacentral:rRNA from 1 species
CACCUAGCGGCGAACGGGUGAGUAACACGUGGGCAACCUGCCCUCAGCUCUGGGAUAACCCCCGGAAACGGGAGCUAAUACCGGAUAUGACCUCUUUGGACAUCCUUUGAGGUGGAAAGAAUUUCGGCUGAGGAUGGGCCCGCGGCCUAUCAGCUUGUUGGUGGGGUAAUGGCCUACCAAGGCGACGACGGGUAGCCGGCCUGAGAGGGCGACCGGCCACACUGGGACUGAGACACGGCCCAG